rnacentral:rRNA from 1 species
GAUGAACGCUAGCGGCAGGCUUAAUACAUGCAAGUCGAGGGGCAGCAUGAUUGUAGCAAUACAAUUGAUGGCGACCGGCAAACGGGUGCGGAACACGUACACAACCUUCCAACAAGUGGGGGAUAGCCCAGAGCAAUUUGGAUUAAUACCCCGUAACAUAGCGAUCUGGCAUCACAUUGCUAUUAUAGAUUUUUCGCUUGUUGAUGGGUGUGCGGCUGAUUAGAUAGUUGGCGGGGUAACGGCCCACAAAGUCUACGAUCAGUAGCUGAUGUGCGAGAAGGAUCAGCCCAACGGGAACUGAGAAUAGGGCCCGACGCCUACGGGAGGCAGCAGUAAGGAAUAUUGGACAAUGGACGCUAGUCUGAUCCAGCCAUGCCGCGUGAAGGAUUAAGGUCCUCUGGAUUGUAAACUUCUUUUAUAAGGGACGAAAAAAGGCUUUUCUAAGUCGUCUGACGGUACCUUAUGAAUAAGCACCGGCUAACUCCGUGCCAGCCGCCGCGGUAAAAC